UGCUGUGGUUAUUAGACCAUGGCACAAAGUGCCACAUCCAGUCUCAUCUUAAAAACCUCCAGGGAUGGUGAAUUCACCACCUCCAUGGACAGCCCAUUCCAACCAUGAUCAAUGAGGAUCUUGCAGCUUAUGCAGCACUCAUUUCUUCCUACUGGCUUCUGCUAAAUGUAAUAAGAAAGAACAUGACAGUAAAGUGUCACAGCCAUAGACUAUUGCAUAGGAGGUAUUAGCUGCCGCCUCUCUAGCAUCAUCUGUAACACUGGACUAUUCAUGUGAAAAUACACAGAGCUACUUGUUCCUUGCUGUGGCAGUUCUCAUUCUGCUUUCCUGCAUUUGAUCAUCUGGCAGAGGCUAGCAGUAGCAGAGGAGAUAUUUCACCAGCAAUCUGACAAUUGAUGUUGUCAGCCCAGGCCAGGCUACUGGAGGAUGCCCCUAUGGACAGGGAGCGAUUCCUGUGGCCAAGGGGGAUGGUGUGAUCUAGUUCAGAGUUCCAUGAUGAAAGGGGCAGUAAAUAUGUCAGAUCACUCUAAAAUCACUCUUAAUGUGAAAUGAGGCUAGAAAAUAAGUUUAAUUUACAAAAGGUGGAGAGGAGCUCCUAAAUCAAUCUAAAGACAAACAGGCUGGAAACAAAAUAAAUAGCUCAAUAAAUACCUGGUACUUCAUUGCAAUUUCAGGGGGUUUUUUAUGUUAUUCCAUUAGUGGAUCUGAGAACUGAGGCACAUGGACACAAAUCAUUUUGGAUGCCACAGUUGUCUGACUCUUAAACAAGUCACAUUCUCACAGUAUUUUCUUUCCAGGUAAUUGUUAGUGGUAUAUGGAAGAUGUGAAGGUGUAGUACACUGCUCUGUGGUGAUAUUCUCCUGGUGUGGUUCCGAUAGGCAGGAAGGUCUGGUGAUUUAUUCAAUCUAAAGAAUGUGCAGAAAGAACUUGCUCCUAUCAUUUGAACAGGAGGUAGAACAGGGUUCUGCUCACUUUCUUCUGAGAUUUUUCACUUUUGGGAAGUACAGAAAAAUUUCUGAAAGUUCUUAAUCAGCUAGUGUUCUGUGACUUCCCAGAAAUAUUUCAGCUAGUAAACUAUGCUAGUCCUCUGACAAGGUAGAGGAAGAUUAAAAAAUUUGGGGUUUAUAUUUAAUAGAAAUUAAAACCUGAAAAACAUUACACUGCAAACAGUGCUGCCAAUGUUUUCGUCUAACUUGGAGGUGCUCUGCAGUGCUUUCGUUGAGGUAUUGCCUCACAGGUGCACUGCGAUCACAGUGCUUCAGCCAUCAGUGCUUAAGAAGAAAAGUAUGCAGUCUUCUGCCUGUUUUGUCUCUUAGAAGCAGCCAAAAUGAUUUUUGGCACAUAUUGCUAACUGCAGCAAACAAAUCCACUGGAUGAAAAAAGCAACAGCAGCAACUACCAGCUUUAGCCUUGUAUUUCCUGUAGUACUUAGAAAGAUGAAAUAUUUUAUCUUUGAGAUUAUUGAUGUGUGACUACUUGCCCAUUCUUGUUUUUCCUUCUCUCUGCAUAUCCUUUUAACUAACUUUCAGGAGUAAUUUUCUGUUCCCCUUUAUUUUCUUUCCUAGACAUACAAUGGCACAGUUUCAUGUCCUCAGCUGUUGCUAGGGAGACAGAAUUUUGAACCCAGCUUGUCAAGCAAAUGAAGGAGCAAUUAUUUUUGAAGUAUUUCUAUAAACUUGGAUCAAAGAUGGUCACAUAUUUUUUAAGGUAGUGUUGGUAGAACUUUUUUUUUAGAUUACUCAGCACUUUCAGUGACAACUCCCUGUAUUGUAAAUCCUGCUGUUCAGCAUGAUACUUCCUUUGGGUGUUUUAUUUGAAAAGUCCCACAAAGCUUGACCCAGCUCUUUCCAAGCAGAGAGAGCAAAAAAAGUUUUAGGCAUAUUCAACUAAUUCUUGCAGCUGUCUCCUCUGCUUGUAGAGCUGUCACUGUGGUGCAGCAAGGUGAAAUUUUCCAGGGAAGGAACACUGUGGCAGUAGGGGCUUGAAGGGAGGGGAAAGACACUUUUAUUUAUCUUUAGUUUGGUCAUGUGUUUGGGCUACCACCUUUCCCAGGUGAAGCUGCAGCUAUCCCUUUAGGUAGUUUCUUCCCUUCUGCUGCUCAUUGGAAGAGAGUGUGGGCAGGCAUUGGUUUCUGCUAGUGCUGGGCUACAGGUAUGUGCUGGGAGAUGCAUUGUGUGGGCAGGCCUGAGUUCUCUCCUUCAUCCUCAAAUGCCUGUGUAAGCACAUAGACUCUCUCUGCUGAGUGUGGUGACUGCCCACAUUAUCUGUACUUUCAGGAAAGCUCAAGUGUGGUAGAUGCAGGAGGGUUAAGGAAGGGUGGGCAUGUUAAACUGCCACUGAGGUCAGCUGCAGCCCAUGUGACGUCUAAGGGUUGUUCCCAAGACUCUUCUGGAAUGUGCAACUCCCCCUGAGGUCAGUGGGUAUUUUCAGUUUGUGGCUGAGUGCCUGUACUUUGCCAUUCUGACUGCACAAGGUUGUCCAGAAGUAGCAGGUUGUUUCUAGUUUGUAGUGUUGCUAUCUAUAGAACCUUCAACUCCUCUAACAUUAAGAAGAAAAUUUAAAUAAGUAUUACCUUACACUUCAUAUAGCUGUCUCAGGAAACAGGUCCUAGCACACCCUGAGACAGAUCUUUAAACAGGAACAGUGUGUGCUGUUUUCUCAAGAACCUUCUUGUACUUUAUUGCAUUUAUGUUAUCUUCAUGAGGAAUUAUUUUGCAUCUACACGCUGUCAAUGAAAAUCAUUAUACACUCAGAGCUUCAUUCAAUGAGCGGAGUCAUUAAACUGUACUAUUAGGUCAGUUGGUUAGAGCACGGUGCUAAUAAUACCAAAGUUGUGGGUUUGAUCUCUUCAUGGGCCGUUCAUUUAAGAGUAGGACAUGAAGAUCUUUCUGAAUCCCUUCCAACUCAGAAUAUUCUGUAUAGGUAUUGGAUUUUUACUAUUUGGUAAUGAAAAAUAUUUCUGUAAAUCUGAGAAUAAGGGCAAAAAAUUACGCAUACAUAGACUGUCAAUAACUUAUGGGUUGCUUUAAGACAGGACUUUCCCAGUGCAGCCAAACAAGUUGUGGGAUGAUUUUCACUGUGUCCUGAUUACAAGAUUCACACAAAGUCUGACUGGCUCACCAACAUUCUGGAAAGUCUGAAGAGAAGUGAAGUGACACAACUUGCAUAUUAGUCCUUCUUAGACUUCUUGAAGACCUGCUGGAAGACCUUAUUAUACCUACCCUCUCCUAAGGGAGAAAAUUUACCUGAAAAUGUAAGAUCAAAAUAUUUUUUAAAAACCCAACGUUUUUAUUUAUGCUUAAACCUUGAGAUUUUUGUUACUGAAAUGGUUCUGUAGUUCUUUUUUUUUCUUCAUCUUUUUUUCAAGAUGUAAUGCUAGCCCCACAUAUGUGCAUAAAGUAACAUGUUUCAAGUGGAAGAGACCAAACUUAAUAUUAAAUUUGCCAUUUUUGUUUAAAGUGGCUAUAUUGCUGCAUUGCUAAAUUUCUGUACAGAAGAAAGAAGAAAAAAAAAGAAAGUAGAGAAAAACUGAUUAAGGAUUGUAGCUUGGGCUGCAGCAAGAGGCACAACCAGCUGGUUGAGGGAGACGAUUCUCUCCCUUUACCCUGUUCUUGUGAAACCCCACCUGGAAUACUGUGUCCAGCUCUGGGCUCCCCAGCACAAGAAAGACCUUGACCUACUGGAACAAGUCCAGAGAGGGACAUAGAUGAUCUGAAGGCUGGAACACCUCUCCUAAAAAGACAGGCUGGAAGAGCUGUUCAGCCUGCAGAAGAGAAGGCUCCAGGGAGAUGUUAUAGCACCUUCCAGUGCCUAAAGGGGGCCUGCAGGAGAGCUGGAGAGGGAUUUUUACAGAGACAUGUAGUAGUGAUAGGAUAAGGGGGAAUGGCUAUAUGCUGAAAAAGGGGAGAUUCAGAUUGGAUAUUAGGGAGAAAUUCUUUAAGGGUGGUGAAGCACUGACACGGGUUGUCCAGAGAGGUUGCAGAAUGCCCAUCCCUGGAGGUGUUCAAGAAGAGGUUGGAUGGGGCUUUGAGCAAUGUGGUCUAGUGGAAGGUUCCUUGCUUUUGACAGGAAAGUUGGAACUAGAUGAUCUUUAAGGGCCCUUCCAACCCAGGCCAUUCUAUGAUUCUACCAAAGGGCCUGACUCUUUUAAUUUGGAAUAAGCAUUGUGGGAAAUAAUGCAAUGCAUUUUCAGCUGUCUGAUGCCCUGAUAAUACCCUGUAAUUGCCAAUGGAUAACAUCACUGCUCCACGGUGUUGAGGCUCCCAUGGGAUCUUCCUCUUGUUUGGAACAAAAAGGAUCCAUUUUGUUACUUUUUUUCACUCAUUUCUACCCUUGAAAAUUUGCCUGUGUAAAGAAUCAUGUUUAGAAUGGCUGGACUGUAUGUAUUUUCUUGAAAAUAAGGAAAAUUUUUGUUUAUUCUCAAUUACAGACCAUAUCUAUUAGGUAAUUUCUAGUAAUCGGUAGUCAAAUACUACAAAUGAGAAAUUUGUUUGUUAUAGAAGGCUUUUUCUACUUCUGUUGUGAGAAUUAAUUUUGGAGUUACCUCAGUGUUGAUUUUGUUCUGAAGUGCUCUUUACUUUUGGUGUCUUCAGGAGCAAGGGCUGAGGUGUGAGACCCAUGCAGAGGGCUGACGAUGGGCAGUUAAUCUACAAGUGCAGCAACUGCUGAGUCCCUCUAGCCAGAUUUCUCAGGCUUUUUUUGGGGGGAAGACAGGUGUUUAAAUAAAGACUUUGAUAUACGAAGAAGCUGUCAAAGGACAAUUUACCACAGUAGCUUCUCUAUGGUAACUAUCUUCGCAUUCUUUUCAGCUGCCAGGCACUCUUCAAGAGAUGAAAAAAAAAAUAAUUUGCAGCUUAAUUGAGAAGUAAGUAACUUUCAAUUAAUUGUCUCACAUUUGCCAUGAGGCACAAGGCAUGGAUUGACUGGGAGACAAAGAGGAGAGUUGCGACAGGUUCGGCGUUGAGUGGAGCAGCCGGCGCAUCCCUCUGCCCUUCCUGCAGCAGCCGCUGCCCGUUCCCCCGCCGGAACCCUGAGCGGGACAGAGUCUGGCCUGGUAACUCCAGCGUGCUCCAGGCAGCCCCCAAAACCACAGCACUCAGGCUCUCUGCCAAAGCCCUGCAGCUUCCCGCGAGGAGGUUCUGCCGCUCCGGGAUCCUGGGGUCCGUGCGCGUCCAUCCCAUCCCAAGCUCCUGCUGACACCUGCUGGCCUCCCGCUGGCUGGAAGCUCAGAAUGUUGGGAAAGAGGGCCAGCCCUCUCGUUUUCUUGCUGCUGCCUUCUAGUCUCUGAGCUGUUGGUUGUUGAACCUUUAGAGGAGAAUAAUACAUUUAGAACAAAUAUUUAUGGGACUAAGCUUACAUUACUCCAUGAGCAUGGCAUAAGAGAACAGGAUAUAUCUCCUCAACAUCUGAGAGGACUGUAAAUAUGACCUUUAGGUACUUCAGCAUUUCUUCUUGGCUCUUCUUAAAGAGGGACAGGCCACGCUGGUGAUGAUGGAGCAGAGAUCCACACAUUCACUACCAACUGGGUCUGGCUCACCCUUAGUGAGGCAUCCUAUAACCUAUUCAAGGAGGCAAGAAUUUCAGCAGAGCAGAAUCUGUACAGUGUAAAUUGAUUCAUCAUUUGUUUCAAAAUGAAACAGCAGUAUUAACAAUUUAGCAUCUUUUAUUAUGGGUAAUUAUGAACCAUUAGUUAGAACCACUUCAGAGUUUCUGACUUCAUAGAGACACUCAAUGCAAUGUUGGGGUCAGACAUCAGGCUAGAUAAAAUUUAGGAUUUACUUUCUAGCAAGCCUGAGUUAUGUGAAGACCUAUUUUCUGUUGCUUUGCCUGAAACACACUCACAUAUUUAGUGUGCUAAAACAAAUGUGAAAUGCAAAAACUUCUCUAAAUGACAAUGCAACUAGGGUAGUAGGAGACAUAGUCUAAAAGUCUGAGCAUGUGAGUGUCCUGUAAUCUGAACUGGAAGAAGUGUUUUUGUUUUUUUUCCUUUUAUGUGGCAUUUCCAAACCUCAAAACUGUGACAUGCAGUACUGUUGUGGUUUAACCCCAGCCAGGAACAAGGUAGCACACAGCUGCUUGCUCACUCCCCCACCAGUGGGAUCGGGAAAAGAAUCAAAACAGUAAAAGCUAGAAAACUUGUGCAUUGAGAUAAAGCCAGUUAAAUAGGGGAAGCAAAAGCCAUGCACACAAGCAAAGCAAAACAAGGAAAUUAUUCACCCCUUCCCAUGGGCAGGCAGGUGUUCAGCCAUCUCCAGGAGAACAGGGCCCCAUCACAUAUAAAGGUUACUUGGGAAGACAAACACCAUCACUCCAGGUGUUCAUCCCUUCUUCCUUUUUGCCCUCACUUUAUAUACUGAGCGUGAUGUCAUAUGGUAUGGAAUAUAACUUUGGUUAGUUUGAGUCAGCUAUCAUGGCUGUGUCUUCUCCCAGUUUCCCAUGUACCCUCAACUUCUUUGCCAGCAUGGCAGGAUGAAAAGCAGAAAAGCCCUUGGCUCUGUGUAAGCCCUGCUCAGCAAUAAUAAAAACACCUUUAUAUAUCACCCCUGUGUUCAACACGAAUAUGAAACCCAGCCCCAUACCAGCCACUGUGAAGAAAAUUACCUCAGCUAAAACCAGUAAAAGUACAAACCAGUUACUGCUACUUGCUGGAACUAGACAAAUGUAAUAUCGUCUAGUGAAACUCUGCCAUUCCUCACAAACCAUGCUGUAACAUGUGAGAUGCUGGUUUUGGAGUGACUAAUGACUAGAGUCUUGAGGCUGGUACCUAGUUUCGUUUAUUACUGUGUUGCACUCACACCUGCAGUGUCAGUGUGAAAGUACAGCUUUCACGGAGGAACAGCUGAGCAGAAGGAAAGAAGAGCUGCCAUCUUGUGUGGGGAACUGAGACUGCACUAAAUGAGGAUAAAAUGAUAAGAAGAUUAAAAAUUUAGUACACCUUUGGGAAUUCGUUAAGUAAAGAUUAUUUCCUUUUUAGUCAUGACUUCCAUAUUUUCUUUCUAUUUGUUUAUAACUAAUGCAAAUGAAUCAGUUCAUCCAAUAAGUGCUGUUUUUCUGGCUUCAGCAGUACUGCAAACUCACUGAGAGGAUGCUGAGGCAGUGGGACCUUUCCACUGUCUGCACCAUCUAGCAGAGCUGACUAGCCGUGGGGCAGGACAUAUUACAGCCAGGAACACCAGCCCUGAACAGAGAAAAUAUCUUCGUGUAACUUUUGUAUACAAAGUAGGAUAACCACAAACAGGUUUAUGGUGUGUUACAUGAUGUUCAUGAAUCAGAUGACAGCAGGCACCUUUUUCCAAACCUCUUGAUACAGUCUUUAUAGGAUCUGUAUUCGAUGCUUUUUUUUUUUCUUGCUGGGUGUGGAUGCUUACCACAACCAAGCAAAGAAGUGUCCUUGCCAAUACUGGAAGGACAGAGAUGUUAUUCCAGCUUCUGUUUCCCCAUUCCCUCUUAACUCCUAAAAGCAAGAUUGAAUGUGGGAACUAUAAGAGCAGAUUAUGAGUAGACCCAGAUGGACAAUACUGUAAUUAAAUCCUUCACCUGCUAUCCUUCUGGUUGCCUUGGGUAAGGAAAGUGGGGUGCUCUGUUUCUGGAGCCUGCUAUGGGCAGGCUGGCUCUGCCCAUCAUCAUGUCAUCCAGGAAGUAAUUGAUCCUGUGUGGGUCGAUGGCUGCAUUCUCUGUCUCUGGCAGUGAACAAAUGUAGAAUGACACCUAAAGAGACUGUCUCUGAUGUGAUGUUGAGAAUCUGUGAGAUCCAUACAGUUCUCAGAUGAGAGAUGAUUAUCAGCAUUGCCACUGAUGAGCAAGAGAAAGUAUUCCCUUUUUUUUUUUAGCCUAGGAUCUUCCCCUACUACAUUUACAGGAAUGAAGCUGGGGUCUUCUCCAGCAACUAAGGCAGCACCAGUAAGUAUAACAACAUCCUUACUUUAGCUUUUGCCUUUUGAGAGUUACCAGUGGUAACCAAACUCAAGGACAUGAAGACCUUGUGGAAAAUCGAGCGUAUGUAACACGUAGGCAAAAGAAAACAGUUUCCCCAUAAGUGUAGGGUGGUGGUGGUAAUGGAGUGUCUUAUCAUGACACUAUAAGAGGAGAGAUGGAGGAUGGUAAGACUACCAAAACCACUGGAUUCUUAAUCUAGAAGUCUGGAUAAAAAUACGAGAGCAUGUACAUCGACCUCUGCAUUUUUUCCCAAAUAGAAGACAUUGCCUUUCAAACAAAAGUAACACCUUAGCCAGGACACAGAGCAUGUCUUCAUGUUGGAAAGAUGGGCUUUGUGUCCAAGGUACUGUUGUGAGAAAUUCCUUUUGGUAUUUGGAGUAAGCCCACAGGUAUUAUCAUGGAUUCGAUGAAGCCCACAAUCCGCCCGGAGGUGACAAACCUGCAACUGCUGACUAGGAGACAGACUGAAAGAUCUUGUCCUCACAUACUUCUGCUUGUCAAGCACCUGAAGGAUACUGAAGGGUUUAGAUGUUCUGUCAAGCUUACUCUGCUCUGAAUGUCUUUACCAGCAUUAGUUGUGUUCCAUGUUAUAAAGUUGUCACUAAGAACCAGACUGUGAAGGCCUCCUGGAGAAGAGUUUAUCUGAUUUCUGCUACAUCCUUUUAGCAAUAGAACUAACAGAAACAGGGUAUCCUUGAGGGCUGUGAGCUACAGAAAAGUAACAGAUAAACUAUGAAAACCAAAUUCCUGUAGGCAAGCUACAUAGAGGAUCCUGAGAGAGCAGGUCAGCUUCUUCAUGGUGACAACUGUACAGAAAUUCUAUAUGAUCUGGUGAGUGCUGAAUUUUGAAAAACUGUGUUGACAAGGGUUAUCUCUGUGGGUUUACUGCUAAGGAGAUUGAGAGAGAAGCCUUCUUACUUCAAUCACUGGUUAAAUCCAAACUUAACAAGGUAGGCUUCAAAAUCAGCUAUCUCUUGUAAUAUCUCAUGGUGGUUUUUUUUUUAAUUUGGAGUUUAAACACAAAAGUUAUAGUGAUCUUACUCCUUAUUUAACUGUCUGCAUCAAGUUAGCACUUCAUGCUAAUGCAACUAAAGAAUAUGGCCUCUUAUUCUUGGGCUGCUAUUAAAGUGGUAUUGAGAAGGAAAUCCAGCUGAGUUAGAAGGUUAAGAUGUCUCAGCACCAAACUUGUUUACUUCUUGUUAAAGUUCAAGUUUCUGAAGGCCUUAUACCAAAUAGUUAGGGACAUACUAGAAUUUACUCAGUCCUUCGACUGUUUCUUCAAAGAUCACUAAGAAAGACGAGAGAGGAGCCACUGACACAGUUUGUCUGGUCUUCCAUCAGUGACAGUUUGGCUUUUUUGUCCUUCCUUUCUAGUAACUGAUAAACAGAAAAUCUUCUCAGCUCCAGCUUCCUAACCCUGCCUUUUCCUGUAAUCCUCUUGAGACCCAACACUUUUUCACUACAAGCAGAUAAUUAUCUUCAGUAAACCCUAUGUGUAUUAGUGAGAACAGUAGACAUUAUUUACCUCUACCCUGUAAAACAUGAUCUACUAUGAUUAGUUGUUACAAGGAACCUCUGUUUUCCUUGGUAGACAGUUCAUUGGAAAGGACUCGGGCUCUGUGCCUUAUAAAGGCACUACAUAAGCUUGAAUAAAACCUAUUCAUUCUUUCUAUUCAGAGCUUUCAGGCAUUCAAACCUCCCUUCAGACACAGUUGCCCCGAGAUGUCUGUUCACAUCCCAUCUGUACCUGAUGAAAUUGUAUCGACGCAGCCUCUGCUGGAGAUUAUUUCCUGUCUUCAUUGUAGGUCCUAUUUAGAUUAUAAUAUUUGAGAACAUGUAGCCAUUUUGUGAUUGCCUAACAGUGUCUCACUGCCUCUCAUUUUAUACUGUGAAACUGUGUCAAUUUAUAUCUUAAAUUCUUACAAGUGGUUUUGUAUGUGGACAUGCACCUGGAAUUUCCUCCUAUUCCCAGUGCUGUUCCUUAUGUCCACAUAUUGCCAGUGAUUAGCAGUUCAUCUUGUAUGCUAUUUUGAUCUCCCUCUGAUGUUGCUUUCCAACUAUGUGUCAUCAACAAGUCUUACAAGCAUGCUACUCUUUGGGAUAAAAUCUUUAAUGAAACUCCUCCCCAAACCAAGCCUCAAAGAGCUGCACUGUAGCUUCUUUUCUUUUCCCAGCCUGACACUUCACCUUUCAACACUAAGCACAGCUGCUUUCAGCUUAUCACAAUGCUUUUAUGGCUUUUAUUUUUCAUUGUUUAUCUAUCAAUAUCUCAUGCAAUAGUCUAUCAUAUUUACCUAAGUCCAGAUAGAUCAGAUUGCCAAGAAAAUCAGCAGAGACAGACACAGGCUCAAUUUGGCACAGUGUGUCCUUAAUGAACUGAUAUGCAUUAACCCCCUCUAAUGGGCACCUCUAUUUCUUUUAAUCUUCAGAGUAUCAAAUGUUUUUUUGGUUAAGUGAACACGUUCAGACACAAAGAUUGGGGGAGAGAAAUGAGAUCUGUAGUUGUAUAUACUGUUUUCUCCUUUUUAAACAUGCAAAGUAGUCUUGCUCUUCUUGCUCUACUUUACCAUAAUUUGAAAAAUACGUUAAGAAUCUAUGCUAGAAUGUGAUUCCAUGUUCCCAUUCCCUUGGUGUUAUAUGACUGAAGCUCAUGUCUCGGUUUCCUAAUUUGAACAUAAAGACUGUGUUACCCUGAGCGUGGUCAUUAAAGAAACAUUUCAGGCUGGAACUAGCAGUAGUAUUGACUGUGUCACUAGGAAAUAUUCAUUACUGUCUCAGCCUGACCCGUUCUUGAAGUCACAGAGAAGCUCUCAGCACACAGACAAACACAAAUCUGAACUACAUCUGUACAUUACCUCAUUUGCCAGAAUGCUAAUGCUUAUAUGCAUGAAUCAAGGAACACUCUAAUUGCACUCUCAACUACAUACCAGAAACAGCCAUGAAUUUAAAUGGAAAGUAUGUGCAAUCAAGUUCCAGCUAUUUAAACUGAGUUCUAGAAACAUCUGUAGCCAGGCUGUCUUAAUUUAUGGAAGCCCAUUAACCAGCCAAGAUAACUUCACUUGCAUGUCUCAAAGAGAAUAAAGAAAAUUUACUUUGCCUCACCUAAAUGUUAGUGGUUUUUUGUGAAGUUCCCUGAAUGGAUCAGAGAACUUUAGACAGUAAGAACAAGUUAGAGUUAUAAACUCUAUCCUGAACUUCUUUCACUUGCUGUAAUCUGUGACAAGUUUUCAAUGCCUUUGUUUUCAUAUUACACGCUACUUGGAAAAAAGGAAACACAAUAAAAAACCCCACCAAAAUUUGCUGUACUGCAGAAACCACUAAAUAGAAAUACACAUAAGCAGAAAAUCUUAGCAAAACACUUGGAAUAAAAGUUACUAUAUAAUAGUUAAGAUAACAAAUAUUAAAAUAAAGAAUGAGAGAAAGUAGAACAAUCUAGCAAUAUCUAUUAGAAUACUAGGACAGUGACAAUGUUUGGGGUGGUAACUUUUUGGCCGGUCUUUCAAAGUGAUGAUAAACUUCCAAUUUCCAUCCUUCCCUUGCAAUUCCCCCCCCCCCUCCCCCCCCAGAACUAAGCUCUGAAUGUGCUUUUAAAAGCACUUGAUUUCUCAAACCUGUACUUGGGAAAAUGGACAGGUAGCUCAGCAGGACAAUUUAACCACCAUUAAAAGUCACUCAAGUUCCUGAUCAUAGUGAAAUGACAGCUGAUGGAGUUUACUUCCCUAAGACAAAUCUGUGCAUCCAUAUCAAAUAGUGACUUACUUAGGAGUUACCUUGUAUCUACUUUUUGGAAGAGGAAUCUUUCAUACUUAAUCCACUUUAAUUCUCUCCUUGGGGUUCUGGGUUCUGCACAAGUAAAUAAAUAGAGUAACAUUAUGCUGUAUCUUGCAGUAUAUCAAGAUGCUUCUUAGGCAAUUUGGUAAGAAAUCUUUUAAGAAUAAAAAUAUAAUAAAAAUCAAAAGAGAAAAUUUCCUUCUGGUAAGCUUGAAAUUCUGCUUUCAAGUACAGGUUUAAGUUGGAAUCUAUGAGCUUUUCAGUAUGUAUCAAGGCCCCUAAUCAUGCUGGCUUUAUUUUCAAAGGACAUGAGCAUUUAAGACAUGCUUGUCCAGCUCAGUUGGUAGAGGCUGAGUACUUUCAAGUACUUUCUCUACAUAGUCCCUGAUAUCUCUACUACAGUGAAGCAAAUUGUUGCUUCCUUACAACAGGGAAGCUUAAGCACGUACUGAGCAUCCCUGGCUAGAGGCAGUGAUGCCGAAUGACUAAAUUACUGAUGAGAUAAAAUGGGAAGCGAAACCUCCUUGCAUUCUUACUUGUUUUAAUUAUGUUUCUAUACACACAGUCCGGGCUGAUGCUGCAUGGGGGUCUCUGGAAAGGCUUGCCACACUUUCUCCAAAACAAUUAAUGGUUUGUGAGCUCAUAACAUUUCUGUGGUGUAAAUCAAGAUUAUUCAUUCCUACCCAGAAUCGUAUUAUCUAACUCCUACCAAGCCUGGGAUUUGAAUGUAUGUCCUUGUUUGGCAGCAAAAGGUUCUGUUCUUAGGCUACAGAGCUGGCUCUUUUUAAGCAUAGUUUUGAAAAUGCAAAUGCAGUGGACUGUUUCCCAUGGAAUCAAAAUAACGUGGGAUCCUAAUUUAUUGUGUUCAGCGAUUAAACAAAUAAUUUCUUCCUUACGUAUUCAAAUUGCCAUCCAUCAGUUCUUUCAAGACUGAAUCUAUAGUACCCUUCUAAAUAGCUGCAGAAAAGUCUUUCAUUAAUUAUCACACAGUGUUAUUACUGCCAGCUCUGCUGGCUGCAAAAAUAAUUCUUUGUGUUUCUUUGUUGUAACUUAUUGCUUCUAUCUUGGCAUCAAAUCUACUCACUCGAGGCUCAUGAGUCUAACCAUCACUGCCAUCAUAUACAGAAGUCUGUACACACACAGAAUCACAGAAUCACAGAAUCACAGAAUCACAGAAUCACAGAAUCACAGAAUCACAGAAUCACAGAAUAUGCUGAGUUGGAAGGGACCCACAAGGAUCAUUGAGUCCAACUCCUGGCCCUGCACAAGACCAUCCCCAGGAGUCACACCAUGUGCCUAAGAGUAUUGUCCAGACACUUCCUGAACUCUCUCAGUCUUGCUGCUGUGAUCACUUCCCAAGGGAGCCUGUUCCAGUGCCCAACCACCUUCAGGGUGAAGAAGCUUUUUCUAAUAUCCAACCCAAACCUUUCCUGACACAAUUUCAGGCCAUUUCCUCAGGUCUCAUCACUGGUCACCGCAGAGGGGAGAUGUACCCCUGCUCAUCCCCUCAUGAGGAAGUUGUAGACUGCAAGGAGGUCUCCUCUCAGUCUCCUCCAGGUUGAACACACCAGGUGACCUCAGCCACUCCUCAUAUGACUUCCCCUCAAGGCCCUUCACCAUCUUCUUUGCCCUCCUUUGGAUGCUCUCUAAUAGCUUAAUAUCUUUCCUGUAUGGUGGUGCCCAAAACUGCACUCCAUAUUCAAGGUGAGGCUGCCCCAGUGCAGAGCAGAGCUGAACAAUCCCCUCCCUCGACCAGCUGGUGAUGCUUUGCCUGAUGACUCCCCAGACACGGUUGGCCCUCCUGGCUGCCAGGGCACUGCUGACUCAUAUUCAACUUACCAUCAGCCAGGACCCCCAGGUCCAUUUCCAUGGCACUGCUUUCCAGCAUCUCAUUCCCCAGUCUAUAUGUACAUCUGAGGUUACCUCAUCCCAGGUGCAGAAUCCGGCACUUCCCCUUGUUGAACGCCCUGUGGUUGGUGAUUGCUCAGUCCUCUAAUUUGCUGAGGUCUCUCUGUAGGGCCUCCUUCCCUUCGAGGGAGUCAACAAUUCCUCCCAGUUCUGGGUCAUCUGCAAACUUACUUAGUAUCCCUUCCUGUCCUGUGUCCAAACCAUUUAUGAAGAUGUUGAAGAGCACAGGGUCUAAGAUGGAGCCCUGUGGAACCCACUAGUGACAGGUCGUCAGUCUGAUGUUACCCCAUUCACUAUUACCCUUUGUGCUUGACCCGUGAGCCAGGUGCUGAACUUUCAAGAGGGACACCAUUUAAGACAUGUAGGUUAUUAAAAGUAAAAAAAAAGAAACAGGUCAAGUCUUGGCUUGCCAAUAAACUUUUCUGGGAUUGGCAGGGGUCUGGAGUUGGCCAGGUUUCUCUGGCUUACUUGGAGGAUGGUAGAUAUGGGAGCUUCUGGAACAGGAAACACGUUUCUUAGGGCUUGGGGCCAUAGAAAUUGUUUAUAUAGACUGAUAAGCUUAUUUUGAACGAAGGAUACACUAAAAAUAGGAUUUUAAAAGGAAUUUAUCCUUACUUCUUUCUUUAAAUCCACAUGAGAAGGAAGUGAAGAGCUUUGAAGCUAGGAUUAGGUGCCAUACACAUGCCUGUCUGGCUCAUCCAAGUGCAUCCCUCCCUCAGAGGAUAGGGCUUCUGCCUUUGCUUCUCGAGCUGGAAGCACGUGAUUCUCCUACUCUUACACUAUGCUGAAGGCUAUGGUAUUUUUGUGUUUCAAUUUUGUUCAUCCAUAAGAUCAACCAGAUUACUCUAUAUUUUCUUGUCGGAGCGUAUAUUGGUUUAGAGGAAAAAGGAGUCACUUUAAAAAAAGUGUAGUUUACUCUUACCACAACAUAAAAUGCCAAAGUUGUAUUUUUUUUAAGUCUAGAAUUAUAAAUGAGUGCAUGAGUGCCUACCUGAGUAGGAGUUUUUCCCUUCUGUGAGAAGUUUAUUACACAGUCACUUCCGUAGCUUAUUUUGCGUCACUAUAGCUAAAAAAAAAGACUUUUAUUUCCAGGCCUUAGGUGAGGCAUAUGAACUAGUUUAGUGAUACUCAGAAAAUAGAAACUAAAAUAGCAACAUUAAAUGAAUUUCUUUGAUUCUUUUCUAAAAAUCUACUAUCUGGUUGUAUCUUUUCCUCAAUUCCUGCUUGCAUUUCCCCCCAGUCCUACUACUGAAUUAAUGUAGCCUAGGCCUAUGGUGAACAGCCUAACAGACAGAUCACAGCACACUGAUGCAUUGCUCCGGGGAAGCUAAAAUCUGUCACAGAGGGAGGUGAACUGGAACUGAUUUUAGAUUCCCAUUCAUUUUCUAAGGAAUGCAAGCAAAAGAAAAACAAGGGGAGGUGGGUUGGUAAAGGGACUAAGACUUUAAAUAGUAUUCUUGACAUUUUGAAAUAAUGAUCAUUGGCACUAAUGCCUAAAAGCUUAUAAACCACUGCCUUAUGUGGAUUAAGAAGUAGAAAGGCCAGCUCCCUCUUAGGCAGAGUACUUUGUAGUGCUAUCUCAGUUUUGUGGAUUAAGAUGGAUUUCAAUAGGCUUACAUUUCCUAACAAGUCUCUGACCACCAGUGUCCCUUAUGGCUCUCCCAGUGCACACUCUAACCACCUGUGAGGAAAAGAGAACUCAUUUUUCUGCUUAUAGGGCAGAUCCAGCACUUGCAGCUAGAAGCAUCACUUUUAUUGGGGUCUUAUCUACUCAUAUAAUUUACCAUAUGAAGUAAUGCGGAUUAGAAGCAGGGAGUAGCGGCAAUACGAAUCAAGGUUAGUCUGGAGCUCUUGCCAGUGCAAAGGAACACAGAUAUGAAUAGAUCUGCUUUCUUCAGCCCCCUCUACUCCUUUACUGUAGCCUUCAACACACCAUUUUCUAUGCUGUGAGAUACCCCUGCCUUCUGUGAAUUUUCAAAUAACUUUCAACAGCUUUUGAAUACUACCAUUAUGGAGGAAUGACAUCUUUUCUUGGGAUCAAACUAUUCUAGAAAUCAGGGUACACUUACAGUGUCAGCUAGGAUGUCUCCCCUCCUAUCAGGCUGCUGUGCAAACACAGGCAGGAGUGCAGUCAGCCCCCAGCUUUGCAAAUACAGAAAGCUCCGUCACAAAACAGUACUUCUCACCAUGUGUAGGAGAGCUGUAUAGACAUGGGAACUGAUCUGACAAGGGAGAGAUAGACAUCUUUAAAGUGAGAAAAUAGCUAAUAUGAGACAGAAGGUGAUAUGUCUGUGUGAAAUUAUUAACUCUGUUGGAGAUUGGGUUCUGAAUUGUCAAAGUUAGUCUCUGAAGAGCCUGCGCAGGUGUUUGUCUGGAGGCAGCCCUGGCUGGGAAGGCAGUCUGCCGUCUCCUCAAAGGAGAGACAGUGGGUGCUCUCUGGGCAGCAGGCUGAUGGGACUGUGCUCCCCCGGGGAGGUGGCAAACAGGCUUCCUGCUGCUGAGGUUUGUGUGACCACAUGCUGUGAACCCUGAUACAGAUCCCUGUGUGACUCCACCAUCUGAGGGGUGGUGGGCUGGUAAAACAAACCAGGAAUCGCUGCAAAGGAUAAGGUUCCACGGUAGCCUUGGCAGAGACUCUGGUUUAGGAAAUCCUUUCCUCCUGCCUCCUUGUUCACAUCCUAAGUCACAACUCCCAUUCCAUGCCCCAGUUCCCCCUCUUCUCAUCUGUGCUACUAAAAUUGUUGUUGGACAAGGUGCAAAUCUGACCUCUCUACCAGGACCUCUAUACAAGGAUGUCUCCCUUUUUAAGUUUUCUGGUCAGGUUUUCCACUUGCCAAAUGCACUCACAGGCUGUUUGCACAAGCUAACUAGUUAAAGGAAAUGAACUGAUUUAUGAUAUUUUCAUCCUCAGUUCAUUCCCAGCUGUUAGUUCUGGAUCUGCCUGAACUUCCUGCUCCACUACUUAUGCCUGCUAUAAAAACCAUUUCAUUAUCAGCAUGGAUCAUAAAAUGGUCAAACGAAUGUUAUAUUGUGCUGGAAUCAUGGAAGUGGAAUAGCAGGAAUGACCAUUAAGGGAAGUCUGCAGAACUGGAAUGAUUAAAUCUAUACCCAACACAGCGUCUUAUGUGUCUGUAGUCUGAGAAAUAAGACUGUGUUUCAUACCUGAAACACAGACAUUUUUUUGGUAAGUAUGUAACAGAAGAUUAUGUGGAAGGAAGACUAAUUGGUCUAGCAGAGACAGCUCUUCAGACUGUGAGCAGAAGGAACCAGCAGAAGAUGACAGACUCAUCUUCUGGCAAAUGUCCAUGCAUGACAAACUAGAAAAUGUUAUGUGCUUAGAUAUAAUGCUUCCCUGACAUUACCUCUACAUAGUUUGGGCAUAUAGAGGUAAUCAACCUCUUGAUUUAAAUUGAGCUACUUAAGAAUGUCUUAUGUAGUGUCUACGUGGUCAUAAAUGAGCAAUACCUCUUUUCUAGGAACCAAGAGAUAAGUGCAGUACCUGUAAGAUCGCAUUCCGUAAAAGAAGUCCAGAUCAACCUUUCAAGUUAAAAUCUUUUCCGUUCUUCUACGAAAAACACCUGCAACAUCAGCAUGGUUUACAGAGUAAUAGGGUUUGUUUUUCUUAGAUGAAAUGAAAAAACAGAUUGAUUUUUCCUCUGUUCCACUUAAAAUCUGUGACAAAGAUUUUGCUGUGAGGUUUGCAACAGAAUUCAAUAAUCCUUAAUAGAGUAAAGCUGUCAGGAGUGACCGUCAGAUGUGAAUGAAAUUCUUGUGACACAGGGCUGGAAAAGAACAAAUUACCAGAAAUGAAUGGUCUUCCCUCUUAAGUAAAAGAUGGAAAGUCAAUCAAUCAUUUAUUAGUGAAUUCUGAAAUAUUGUAUUUUCUGACUAGAAAUCCAUAGUGGAUUUGGAUCACGUUUGCAAUGCAUAUUUAUAAUUUCAGUUAUGGUGUGGUUUAAGCUUGUGUCCAUGUUGUGAAAAAUUCAGUCAAUUUGUAUGGAAGUUAUUCACCAACUUCAAUGUGUAAGUGCUCUUUCUCCUGGAAUUUACUGCAUUUGUAAUACAAUAUUUUAGAGCAGGUAAGUGUUUUUAUUAAAAAUCAGUAGUUAAGGUGUGAAAAUCAUGUUUUUGCAACUGUAGAUUUUUUUGGUGGGUGAACAAGGAGAUGUGGCUUCCUUUCAUUUACCUACAGAGCCUUUGAUUUAUAAAGCAUAUUCUUUUAUAUUUCACAGUGGACCUCUGACUGUUCUUUUCAUUGUGUUACAAUGUGACUUGAAAAAGAGCACUUGCUUUUAAACAACUGGGUAAGUUAAAAAUAAAGCUAUCUGGAAAAGCUGAGGGAAUUUGAAAUAUCAAGAGUCUAUUGCUUAAAGCUGAGCAACAGCAAACUUACUCAGUUCUGCUUUCCAAAGGGGCUUUCUUAAACAGAUAGUUAUAGGAGGCCUAAAAUAAUACUUUGAAGCAAAGAACAUGUCCCUUCUCCUCUUUGAGUUGGCUUCGACAAUAAUUAUUUAGAGAAGAAUAAUUUUUUGACUUUCAGGAGUUUGGAAAUGUUGCUAACUGGCCAUGGCCAUUACGAUGUUUUGAUUUUACAUAUAACUGUUGGUAAACCCCAUGUUGAUAAGCUUUUUUGUGUCACUGAUCACUGUAAAUAAUUUGAGUUUGAUUUGAUUUUUUUUUCUGCAUGUUCAAAAGUUUUUAUGCUCUUUUUAAUCCAUAGUUUAUCUUUGCAAUGCCAACAGAUAGACUGUGACUGAAACUUCAUGAAGAACCUAGAAAGAAAUCUUCUACCAGCAUCUUGUAUUGUGAUUUGUCUCUUAUAUGCUGGUAAUGGUAAUGUUUUGACAGAUGGCUGGAGCAGUAGCAUUAGAAGCAACUGUCAUGGAUACUCCACAUCCUGUCUGAGAAAGUACACCCUGAUCAUCCUACCCAGGAGGAAUCCCUGAACCCUCAAGAGAAAGUAUCCAUGUUUCUAUAUAUUCAGUGAGCGUGUGUCAGAAUUUAGAUAUGAAAGCAUAAAUAAAUUGUUUUGCUACUCUGAA